rnacentral:rRNA from 1 species
UACGUAGGGGGCAAGCGUUGUCCGGAAUUAUUGGGCGUAAAGAGCGUGUAGGCGGCCAGAUAAGUCCGCUGUGAAAUCUCGAGGCUCAACUUCGAGCUGUCGGUGGAAACUAUCUGGCUAGAGUCCGGAAGAGGAGAAUGGAAUUCCUGGUGUAGCGGUGAAAUGCGCAGAUAUCAGGAAGAACACCCGUGGCGAAGGCGGUUCUCUGGGACGGUACUGACGCUGAGACGCGAAAGCGUGGGAGGCGAACAGG